UUUAAAGUCUAACCUGCCCAAUGGAAGUUAAAUGGCUGCGGUAAUUUGACCGUGCAAAGGUAGCAUAAUCAUUAGUUUUUUAAUUGAAAGCUGGUAUGAAUGGUUGGACGAGAAAAAUACUGUCUCGGGUUAAAUUUAUUAGAAUUUUAUUUUUAAGUUAAAAAGCUUAGAUGUAGUUAAAAGACGAGAAGACCCUAUAGAGUUUUAUAUUUAUUUUAAUAGUUAAAAUUAUUUAUUUUUAUUAUUAUUUAAAGUAUUUUAUUGGGGCGAUGUAAAAAUUGAAUUAACUUUUUAUGUUUAUAUUACAUUUAUAUAUGUUUAUUUGAUCCAUUAUUUAUGAUUGUAAGAUUAAAUUACCUUAGGGAUAACAGCGUAAUAUUUUUUAAGAGUUCAUAUCGAAAAAAAAGAUUGCGACCUCGAUGUUGGAUUAAAAUUUACUUUUGGUGUAGAAGUUAAAAAGUUAGGUCUGUUCGACCUUUAAAAUUUUACAUGAUCUGAGUUUAAACCGGUGUGAGCCAGGUUGGUUUCUAUCUUUAAUAUAAUAAUAUAAUAUAGUACGAAAGGAUUUAUUAUAUAUAAAAUUUAUUUAAGUUUGAAUAAUAAUA
rnacentral:rRNA from 1 species